rnacentral:rRNA from 1 species
UGGGGAAUAUUGCACAAUGGAGGGAACUCUGAUGCAGCGACGCCGCGUGAACGAAGAAGGCUUUCGAGUCGUAAAGUUCUUUUAUAUGGGAAGAUAAUGACGGUACCAUAAGAAGAAGCCCCGGCUAACUACGUGCCAGCAGCCGCGGUAAUACGUAGGGGGCUAGCGUUGUCCGGAAUCACUGGGCGUAAAGGGUUCGCAGGCGGAAAUGCAAGUCAGGUGUAAAAGGCAGUAGCUUAACUACUGUAAGCAUUUGAAACUGCAUAUCUUGAGAAGAGUAGAGGUAAGUGGAAUUUUUAGUGUAGCGGUGAAAUGCGUAGAUAUUAAAAAGAAUAUCGGUGGCGAAGGCGACUUACUGGGCUCAUUCUGACGCUGAGGAACGAAAGCGUGGGUAGCAAACAGG